GAAAGAAGGACACGCAUGCGCCUGCUCCGCCGCCCGCCCCAGCUCGAGCCGCCCGAAAACAAACCCGGAGGAGGAGGAGAGGGAAACGUCCAACAAAGAGCUGCGGCAGCACAAGCGGACGUGCUGCGAAAAACCAGGGACAAUCCCCCUGGAGCAACCUGGAGUUAAGUGCCUUGCUCAAGGACACAAUGGUGGUGGCUGUGGGGAUCGAACCUACAACCUUCUGAUUACCAGUUAUGUGCUUUAGCUCACAACACCACCAUCACUCUUAGAUGCAGAGGCAACUGAGAUUCGUCCUCCGCCAACCACACUGAGGCGACUCACUACACCACCACGAGGACCAAGAGCGCAUUGGGAACUGGGCAUUCCAAAUUGGGGAGAAAGGUUCACAAUUAAUCUUGUGAAUUAAUAGAUGAGUGCCCUUUUGCUUUGCUUUUUAGCACAGCCAUAAUACAUCACAUUUGCUUUCAACUCAUAUUGUGCUGUGAUAAUGAUUUGAUAGCCUUACCUGCCAUCACAUCCCAAUAUCAACUAAAUAAGCUAUUUGUAACAUUAUAUUUCUGUCUUUAAGCCCAAGAUCUUUGUUUCUUUUACUAAAAUUGUUUUCUUUUUAAGUGAUUUGUUGGAGUGAGUAAUGCACUGGAUUUGGGUAAAUUUGUUAAUUUUCAAGUCAGAUUUGAAAUUGGAGUCUGAGCUGACACACAAAACAGUGCAGGCAGAAACACCUCACUCAAGCGGUCAGUGUGGUCAGCUAACCUUAACAACUUCAAAGUACAGAUCUGGGCUGCGUAUCCCAAAAGCAUCGUAAGCUUAAAUAGGUUGUAGAAACCAUUGUGUUCAUUUGCAAUGUGACAAUGGCAAAUUAAUAAUUUUUUUGUCAAUGCUGACAUGGGGUUUCUUUGUAAAGUUUCAGGUGAAACAACAGGAAGCUGUAUUCGCCACUGGACGAUCAGCCUUGAGGGGCUCAUCAUUUGUGAGGGCAUCCAGCCAGCUUUUGUGUCUGGACUUGCUGCUGUCUUUUCUACUUACUACACCUUCAGUCUUCAGUACCAAGAUGAUUCUGCAUGCACACUGGAAUUCAUUCAAAGUUUAGCUACUUAGAUGCUUAAAUCCUUCAGCUGUUACUAUGUGACGUGUGCAUUUUGUGGACCUUGUGUUGCUCCCAUUUCAUUUCACUGGUCACGUACAACUGCCCAAAAGAUCUGAUUGCUGGAGCUUGUUAAAGGUAUUGUUCACCCAAAAAAGAAAAUUCUCUCAUCAUUUACUCACCUUGAUACCAUCCCAAAUAUAUAUGACUUUUUUCUUCUUCAGCAGAACACAAAUGAAGAUUUUUAGAAGAAAAUCCAAGCUCAUACAGUGCAAGUGAAUUGGUGCCAAAACUAUGAAGUUAAAAGCAGCAGAAAAGCAAUUCUAACGACUCCAAUGAUUUAUUAAAUGUCUUCUACAUUUACAUGAGGAAAAACAUAAGCGAAUCAUCUUAAGGAGACAGUGGUACGAAAAGUGCUAUAUUACAACGUUUCACUAGCAUGAGAAUAGUAUUCAAAACAGAUUAAAGUGCAACUAGGACAUUUUUUUUUUUUAGUGACUUGUUAAGUGCUCAUGGAAAAGAUGUGUUUUUAGCCGUUUCUUGAAGACAGAGAGUGAGUCAGCUUCACGGAUGGAGUUGGGAAGGUCAUUCCACCAACGUGGUACGAUGAAGCCGAAAGUCCGGGAAAGUGUUUUGGUGCCUCUUUGUGUUGGUACAACAAGGCGACGUUCCUUAGCUAACCGCAGGCUUCUAGUGGGCGCGUAGCUCUGCAGAAAUGAUUUUAGGUAUGCUGGAGCAGACCCAGUGACUGUCUGUAUGCCAGCAUCAGAGCCUUGAAUUUGAUACGUGCAUCAACCGGCAGCCAGUGGAGAGAGAUGAGGAGUGGUAUAACAUGCACUCUCUUUGGUUGAUUAAAGACCAGAUGUGCUGCUGCAUUCUGGAUCAUUUGCAGGGGUCUAAUUGCACAUGCAGGGAGGCCUGCAAUGAGAGCAUUACAGUAGUCCAGUCUAGUUAUGACAAGUGACUGGACAAGCAGUUGUGUGGCAUGUUCAGAGAGGAAGGGUCUUAUCUUCCUGAUAUUGUAGAGUGUAAAUCUGCAUGAUCUUGUGGUUUUUGAGAUGUGGUCUGUGAAAUUUAGUUUGUUGUCGAUGGUUACCCCUAGAUUUCUGACCGUUUUGGAAGCUGUUACUGUAGUUGCACCCAGCUGCACGGUGAUGUUGUGUUCAGCAGCAGGGUUGGCUGGAAAGACAAGGAGUUCGGUCUUGGCUGGGUUGAGUUGCAGGUGGUGUUCCUUCAUCCAGGCCAAGAUGUCUGCCAGGCAGGCAGAGAUUCAAGCAGUCACUGUGGUGUCGUUGGGCUUGAAAGACAAGUAGAGUUGCGUGUCAUCAGCGUAGCAGUGGUAAGAGAAACCAUGUGCCUGAAUGAUGGGUCCCAGUGAUGUUAUGUAUAUAGAGAAGAGAAGUGGCCCAAGCACAAAAAGAUGACAUCAGUUAACCCUUUUGUUUCCAGUCAGCUAAAGAAACGAAUGGACUUUGAGUGGGACUUUAUAUAAGUCAGUGAACCCAGUCAGUCACACAUACUCACACACAAACACUCUCUCAUACACACACAAACACUUUCUCACACACACAAACACACACUCAACACACACAAACUCACACACACUGUUUUUGUCAUUUCUCAGUUAUUCACUAACUUAGUCUUUGUUUGUGUCCAGAGUUCAGUGUUUGGACAGACUGCAAGGUUUGUUAUUAUAUGUUAUUAUAUGUAUUUAUUAUUUAUAUGGCUAAAAUGUAAGUUUAUGUACCUGAAUCAGCUUUGGGCUUUGUUUUACCAAUUUUCUUCUAAUUUUGUACAGAUGUUUUGCAAGAUCAUUAUUUUAGUUGGCUUGGUUUCUGAGGCACUGAUUUUGAUAAUGUUUUAUAUGUAUAUCUGAGUUCAGUGUUCGUACUGACUGCGCUUCUUGUUUAUUUAAUUAAUAAACAGUAAUUAACUGCUAAUCCUUUUGUCAGUAUUUUACUGUAAAUGUAGUUAAUUUUACAGUAACUUGCUGGCAACCCUGCUGCCAGUUUUUACAGUUUUUUUUUUUUACGGGAAAAAUUUUAACAGUGCAGUUACACCACUAUUAUUUAUUGCGUAAAUGUAUGCAUACAUGAUAUAUGCAUUGGAUUAAUAUAUAAUAUCUGCAAUAAUAUUAGUGUGUCUGAACUUUCAGUAAACAUUUCUAUUGUUGUUUAACAACAAGACUUGGAGAGCCACACCUGUUGACUGAUAUUGCAGAAAUUGAAUUAAUCUAUAAAUAAAGACUGUGUUUAAAUAAA